rnacentral:lncRNA from 1 species
AACUCUCAAAUGAGAAACUCAAGUUUUAUAUAUUUCAAAUUGUGGUAAUACAUGAAGGAAGUGGCCUUAUUUAUAGCAAUCCUAGAGGCCAUAUGGUAGCUGAAAUAGUGCUGAUAAUUAAUACAUCAAUGGAAACACAAUCUAGUAAAUGUCAAACAUGGUGGCUUGUUGGCCUUAUUGUCAAUAGUAGGGUGGUGGAAUUGGAAAGCUAGCAUAUAGGGUGGUGGCUGCAAAGUCUAUGCCAUAUUAAAGUCUUACUCUGUAUCA